rnacentral:rRNA from 1 species
CCUACGGGUGGCUGCAGUGGGGAAUAUUGGACAAUGGGGGGAACCCUGAUCCAGCCAUGCCGCGUGUGUGAAGAAGGCCCUCGGGUUGUAAAGCACUUUCAGUGAGGAAGAACGCCUGGUGGUUAAUACCCAUCAGGAAGGACAUCACUCACAGAAGAAGCACCGGCUAACUCCGUGCCAGCAGCCGCGGUAAUACGGAGGGUGCGAGCGUUAAUCGGAAUUACUGGGCGUAAAGCGCGCGUAGGUGGCUUGAUAAGCCGGUUGUGAAAGCCCCGGGCUCAACCUGGGAACGGCAUCCGGAACUGUCAAGCUAGAGUGCAGGAGAGGAAGGUAGAAUUCCCGGUGUAGCGGUGAAAUGCGUAGAGAUCGGGAGGAAUACCAGUGGCGAAGGCGGCCUUCUGGACUGACACUGACACUGAGGUGCGAAAGCGUGGGUAGCAAACAGGAUUAGAUACCCUAGUAGUC